rnacentral:misc_RNA from 1 species
CAUGAUGCAUCGAUGCUGCAUGCAUACAAUAUAUACGCGCGGUAACUUAGCAGCUGCAGCGCAGGUGCAGUUUUUUUACGCUUGAUGAAUCUAACCCGGCCUAGAAAAGUCCCUUCGUUAUUGCAUGAAGGAAUAAGAACAUUGUAAUAUUUUUAAUUUCAGGUUUGAAAAUUAGAAUAUUUAACCGUAAAUUUCGAAAGCACAAGUAAACAUUGCUGGCAGAAAAUAGAUCGUAUUAGCUGUCUGCAACUUGACCCUUCCACAUUUCAGGCGAACCUCCUAGCAUUGUUGUCAUAGCGACGGCUUUCCCCCAGCAGCUGUAACCAUGGCGACGCUGGAACUCAUCACAGACAAGAUUGACCAUCUGUAUAAGUUUUACCUUCAUACGCUCACGUUUAGUGAUCCCCGGGUUGAGACCUGGCUUUUUAUGGACUCGCCGCGAUGGACAAUCGCCAUCGCUCUGCUGUAUCUACUCAUCGUGUGGUUGGGGCCAAAGGUCAUGGCCAAUCGCGACCCCUUGACCCUGAAAUGGCCCAUGAUUAUGUAUAACUUCCUGUGCAUGGCGAUAUCGUUCCACAUCGUCAAAGAGAAUGUGAUAUGCGGGUACCAGCUGGGCUACAGCCUCACUUGCCAACAGGUGGUCUUUAGCUACAACGAGUAUGAGCUCCGGAUCGCCAAGUCGCUCUGGUGGUUCUACAUCUCCAAGUUGAUCGAGAUGUUAGACACCGUGUUCUUCAUCUGCAGGAAGAAAAACAGUCAACUGACGUUCCUUCACGUCUACCAUCAUGCUAGCAUGUUUGCUUGGUGGUGGAUCGGAAUCAAAUGGGUGGCUGGAGGGCAGUCCUGGUUUGGAGCGACGCUGAACUCCUUCAUUCAUUUAGUCAUGUAUUCCUACUAUCUACUGGCGGCUAUGGGUCCACGCAUGCAGAAAUAUCUCUGGUGGAAACGCUACCUCACUCAGCUGCAAUUUGCUCAGUUCAUCAUUGGCCUAAUCCACGCCUUCCAGUCCCUCUAUUUUGAGUGCGAGUUCCCGCUGUGGAUGCAAUAUGCGGUGAUUGUCUACGGCAUCACCAUCUUCGCGCUAUUCAUCAACUUUUACAUCCACGCUUACAUCCGCAAAGAGCGUCUCCCCAAGUCGCAGCGUUCGUCAAUGACGAUGGACAUUAAGAACGGGGAAACCGUCCGCAACGGCGCAUCGGGCGACAACAACAAAAAGACGAAAUAAGUAAAGCCUCGUGACGUGACGCUUUGUUUACAUGUGUGCACUUUUUCGUUGGAGCAAGGUGGGGGACAAGGGCCACAAGCUCCCAUAUGAAAGCACACAUGUUAACAAAGCGUGACAUCAUAAUAUCUGAGGUGUAUUACUGUACUAGGACUUGAGAAUGAUUUUAACGGGAUUGUUGUAAAUCUUUGGGUGGUGGGCGAGGUGAAAUCUUAUCCCUUGCACAGAGCCCCUUCACUGGGGACAGGUGUGAUUUUGAUUCAGUUAGGGCCCCUCUCAAUUCAUAUCAAAGAUGACUUACGGACAAGUUGCGGGUAGAAUCAUUCACUUUGGGUGCAUUCGAGUAGCUCACCCGGAUUAGCUCGAUUAGCUCUGACGUCGUUCUCAGGGCUAACCCGGGUCGGCCACUACAGACCCUGCUCCUGGAGCAGAGUCAGUGGUGGAAAUACGACACACGCAGGGGUUAUUCAUUCCUAGAAACGGACAAAUGUGGCAGCCGGACAGCGGAAAUCUCAAGUGGACACAAAAAUCUAACGUAUUUGAAGUCUUAAGGUAAUUAUUUGUUGAAUUGUAAUUCCAGUCCAACUUUUUUUGGUUCUGCAAUUGACUGAAAAGCAGUAAAUCUCAAAGUAAGACCCAGUUCGAAAAUCAGGCGUUUUGUCAGUGGCUACGGCCGUGGCUACGGGCAUCACGUGAGGAUCAUGAUGGCCCGCGGAUGAGCGUUCGAUUAACCCAGCUGUCGUGGCUUACCCGUCUGCCUUUACCCGAGUCGAUCCGGAUGAGCUACUCGAACGCAUGCUUUGUGUGGGAAAAAGCUCUACAUUUGUCCAGGACAUAUUCUGGGAAAAUUUGCAUUGCCGGUAGAAACUGCUUGACUCACCAAUGCUGAUAACUUCAUUGCAUACAGAUAGCAGAGAAGUUGUUCAGAAUCAUGCACCUUAUACCCGAUGCCUUAUAUCCCUUACACCCGAUGCAUUAUGUCCCUUAUACCCGAUGCCUUAUAUCCCUUAUACCCAAUGCCUUAUAUCCCUUAUACCCGAUGCCUUAUAUCCCUUAUACCCCUUAUACCCGAUGCCUUAUAUCCCUUAUACCCGAUGCCUUAUAUCCCUUAUACCCAAUGCCUUAUAUCCCUUAUACCCGAUGCCUUAUAUCCGGACAAGUUCCGGACAUCAUCCCGGAUAUGAAUUGAAACGGACCGUAAAGCACAAAAUGCCUACCCAUGUGCAUGACAGAUGAACAGAGAGGGCGCUGUUUGCAAGGGGUCUGUGGGCUAGUCUAUAAGAUAUCUGUUGUCGAGAAAUAACGUAUUUAUUGCACAAAUGGAAUCUGGCAUCUACAUGUACAUGUACAUAUCCAGAUGAUAGUGCAAUUAGAAUGAUUAACGAUUGUUUAAAUUUGCACUGCAAACAAAUGCAAUUUUAGGGAGUGUGUUUUGAGGCUGAAGUGACUAGAUUUUACUGGUUUGAAUAGCACUCUGAAUAAAUCUUUGAAGUUUUGUUGUGCCUGUAUCAGUACUUUUAAAAUAAUGCCGCUUACUAUAUAUGUAGGUAGAUUUUAACUUUUAUAGUACUCGCUGAAUUUUUACUUUUAUUAAUAGUUGUCCCUUUAUAUCGCAAUACAGCUUGAGGCUUCUGAAGGAAGAGUGCUUAUAAAUUCAGUUUU